rnacentral:lncRNA from 1 species
GGUUAACUUCUUUGGACACUAACACAAUGACUAUGGAUUCUUGGGCUGCUGCUUUCUCAAAUUCCUUAGGACUAAUGAUUUGGAGGUGCUUUUCAACCUUUACAUCCUUCUUUCCAGCAAUAGAAGGUCUAGGAGGCAAAGGGUUUAGUCGAAUUUUCUUUUCUUGGUGAACAAAAGAACAGGAAUUGGAUUUGCCAUAAAUGGUCACAUCCAAAUCAUAAAGCCAUGGUCUACCAAGGAUGAUGUGUCCAACGUCCA